UCCAGACUCCUACGGGAGGCAGCAGUGGGGAAUAUUGCACAAUGGGGGAAACCCUGAUGCAGCGACGCCGCGUGGGUGAAGAAGUAAUUCGUUACGUAAAGCCCUAUCAGCAGGGAAGAAAAUGACGGUACCUGAGUAAGAAGCCCCGGCUAACUACGUGCCAGCAGCCGCGGUAAUACGUAGGGGGCAAGCGUUAUCCGGAUUUACUGGGUGUAAAGGGAGCGUAGACGGCAGCGCAAGUCUGAAGUGAAAUCCCAUGGCUUAACCAUGGAACUGCUUUGGAAACUGUGCAGCUGGAGUGCAGGAGAGGUAAGCGGAAUUCCUAGUGUAGCGGUGAAAUGCGUAGAUAUUAGGAGGAACACCAGUGGCGAAGGCGGCUUACUGGACAGUAACUGACGUUGAGGCUCGAAAGCGUGGGGAGCAAACAGGAUUAGAUACCCUCGUAC
rnacentral:rRNA from 1 species